CUGAUGGUGAAGUUGUAAGGUUGUAGAGCUAAACUCCACCGCAGCAGUCUACCAUUGUCUCCUGAGACCCGGUUAAGCCAGACAAGGGGAUUGUGGUCCGUGAUAAGAGACAAAUCCUGCCCGUACAAAUAAGGGCUCAAUUUCUUCAAUGCCCAGACCAGGGCUAAACAUUCUUUCUCCACUGCCGCAUAACUCACUUCCCG